rnacentral:rRNA from 1 species
UACGUAGGGGGCAAGCGUUAUCCGGAUUUACUGGGUGUAAAGGGGGCGCAGACGGCGAUGCAAGCCAGGAGUGAAAGCCCGGGGCCCAACCCCGGGACUGCAUUUGGAACUGUGUAGCUGGAGUGUCGGAGAGGCAGGCGGAAUUCCUAGUGUAGCGGUGAAAUGCGUAGAUAUUAGGAGGAACACCAGUGGCGAAGGCGGCCUGCUGGACGAUGACUGACGUUGAGGCUCGAAAGCGUGGGGAGCAAACAGG